AACAAACCAAAAAUCUUAUCCAAUUAGAUGGACAGCAUUUAGAAAAAGCCUGAGAAAUGACAGCAUUAUUUGAAAAUGGAAAGCAGGAAUCAAGGAAGAAAGAAAAUAGACUCGCAGAAUACCAGUUCUCCUUCUGGUUCUAGCAACCCAGUGGGUGACUGUGGGUUCUUUGCCUCAAGCUGGACCAAAUGGUUCCUCUUUUUUAGUUUUGACUUAAGCAUAUUAUGUAAGCAGUUGUCUUAAUAUUAUACCUGAUUGACAAAUUUCAUUCUUAA
ensembl:lncRNA